rnacentral:lncRNA from 1 species
CGUCUUACUGCAUCUAUUUCCAUCCUUCCUCCGAUUCUUCAAUCACAAAUUCCCUUAUAAACCCAAAAAGCUCUCUCCAGAUCUUCACAAAAAUACUUGAUACAAUUUCAGAUCCCGAUCCACCGACAAUGUCAACCACCGUCCCCCCGUCCUCCCGAUCUCCACCACCUCUGUCGCCGCCGCCGGAUCCAUCGAGUCCCAGGCCUCCCAGCCUCGGAUCGCCACCCUGGCCUUCCGCGCCUUCAUCAACCACAUCACCGACACCGUCCGCAACGGCCUCUCCCAGCGCCGCCCCUGGGCCGAGCUUGCCGACCUCUCCGCCUUCGCCAAGCCCGAGUCCUUCUCCGACGCCACCCUCCGCGUCCUCGUCAACUACCUCGCCGUCGUCGCCCUCAUCGUCGCCGUCUCCCUCUUCACCCACCCCUUCUCCCUCGGCCUCCUCGCCGCCUGGCUCUUCCUCUACCUCUUCCGCCCCUCCGAUUAGCCUCUCGUUAUCUUCGGCCGGACUUUCUCCGACACCCAAACCCUAAUGGGCCUCGUCAUCUUCAGCGUCUUCGUCGUCCUCCUCACCUCCGUCGGG